UGCAGAGUAGAAAUUUAAGCGUUAAGUGCCGGGUGAACAGGGAGUUGUCAUCAGGACGAAGGAUUUUUCCGCGGUUUAAGUUUCGCAUCCCGCUGCU
rnacentral:ncRNA from 2 species